GCGACUCUAGCUCAGGUGGUUAGAGCGCUGGGUUGUGGUCCCAGAGGUCAUGGGUUCGAGUCCCAUGAGUCGCCCCG
rnacentral:tRNA from 1 species